rfam:Tupaia chinensis contig117301, whole genome shotgun sequence.
GUGUCCCGAAUGGAAGGAUCCCUCUGGGAGCUCCUCAGGAGGGGGACCUGGGCCCAGGGCUUGGACCUGGCAAGUCCAAGACCUCGGUGGCUUC